rnacentral:snRNA from 1 species
UGAUGUGAGGGCAAUCUGGCUGCGGCAUCUGUCACCCCAUUGAUCACCAGGGUUGAUUUGGCUGAUCUGACUGGUUAGGCGGGUGUCCCCUUCCUCCCUCCAUAUGCGUCCCUCCCAAAGCUGCAUGCUCAGUCAAAGAGGAUGACUAUCCCCGAUAGAGGAGGACUAGUCUUCAGUCAAGGGCACUC